rnacentral:lncRNA from 1 species
GUGACACAGAUUAGGACUGAAGUAAGGGAAAGGGGAUAUCCUGUUCCUUCUAUAUUGACUGUGUUGGUGAAUGGUUCUACAGAAUUUGUCCUAGGUAGACAUCUAGAAGACAUCCUCAAUGUGUCUCCCUUCAUAGCUUCAUCAUGUGAAGUCUCUCUAAUCCUUCCUCUCCUCACUGCCAUUGCUUCAGCUUAGGUCCUUCUGACUUCCACCAUGCGCAAUGUACCUCAAGAGCCUUCUGGAUGGGCCCUAUAUAAUGGCACUUUCAAUGAUGAUGGAAGUUUUUGUAUUUACACUGCCCAAAUGGGAGCCACUAGCCACAUGUAGCUGUUGAGCACCAAAAAUGUGGCCAGUGUGACUGACAAACUAAUUUGUUUUUCUUCCUCAUGGGCAGAGAAUGGGCACAGCAUCUUGCCAUGUUGCCCAGGCUGGCCUUGAACUCCAGGGCUCAAGUGAUCCUCCCCCUGACUCAUGGACAUGUAUGGCUAAUGAUUAAUGUACUGUACAGCAGCAUAUGUCUAAAUAAUCUUCCUGCCACAAGCGUAGCCCCUCCCAGCCCCUGGCACAAAGAGAUGGCCAACCAGCAGUCCUGUUGACUAGUUUAAUGAAGGAAACAUGACAACAUGAAGGCUGAAUAAGGAUGAUAGCAGUACCACGAAUUGCUAUGUAGUGUCACAAGUCAAGCUUUUUAGUUCAGUAAUUUUCUUUUAACUUGAUUGGUUAUUUAUUUCCUCACAUUCUUAUUUUAAACCGUCUUUGUCAUUAAAAACUUUUUCCUUCUUUUUUUUUUCCCAACAAAUACAAACUACCCUUUAUCUUCAACAACUUCUAUCAUCAGUUAUAUAUUUAAUAAAUACCUCUAUCAAUCUGUUUAAUCAGAUUAGUUGACUCAUGUUUAGGGACAAAAGCAAAUGAGUGGUUGCCUGAAGAAGUGGUGGGAAGGAUUGCAAAGUGUAAUGAAAAAAAAAAAACCCCAGAAGAUACAGGCAUGUUUGCUGUCCUUUCCUUGUACUGGGCACUAGUCUGCGCAAUCCACAACCAGUAGAUAAAUUAUGCCUGCAUUUUACAGCUGCUGCCUCUUGGAAGUGCCACCCACUCCCAUGGCUCAUCCACUCACCUCUGACUUCCUGAUGUUUGCAAACCUCAGACACCAUGACUCUUUCCCUCCCCACCGAGGGUAGCCAUGCUUUGGAAAUUGAGGGACAAGAGGAUUACAUAAAUUGCCUGAGGUUGUGCUGCUGGAAGAGGCAGAUCUUGUGUGAGAUUUCAGAUAAUCCAGGUCUCAGGGAUAGUACCUCGGUGGCCUCAAUAAAGCCUCACAAAAGGACUCAAGGUUACUUAAAAUCUUAACACACCAUAUGUUAAUUUAAGUGUAUGUGCUUACAUUUUAAAUGCCUGAAUUUUGAAAAUAACAAAAAUUAAAGCUACUAUAGAUUUGCAUUUGAUGUCAUUUCAGUUUAUAUUUACAACUCUUGCUUGACCCCUAAAGUUGUUUAAAUUAUAAAAAUUGAUAUUAUCCUACCCUGUAUUUUAUUUUGAGAUAGAUUUUCCCCUGAAACUUCUGCACCAUGAUUUUAGGUUUAUUAUCAAUAUCUUAUUUUGAACAUAAAUUUUAUCUUUUUUAAAAAUUUCAUAUUUAAGGACCUAGACACCAUGAAGAACUAGGAAAUACUUUUGUGCUGUAUCAUGUUUAUCUAAUUUACUGUAGCUAUUCACAGUUAGUUUACCCACAUGAUGGUAAAAAUAAGUAGUGUCUUUUUGAUGGAAUCAGUGCCUGAGACCUUAGGCAAGUGCAGACUAUAAGCAGUACAGACAACAAGCGAUUUUUAUUGAGAUUACUGUUUACCUUAAUUUAAAAUGUGUGUUAUUGAUGAAAUUUGUACAUUUUUGUUCAUCCUCUUUUAUUUCCUGAAGUCCAUUUUGAUCUGGAUUUAUAAUAUGAGACUUGACAUUAAUUAAAAUAUUCAUACUUAAAAAAAUAAAAUCUGGGGCUGGGGAUGUGGCUCAAGCGGUAGCGCGCUCGCCUGGCAUGCGUGCGGCGCAGGGUUCAAUCCUCAGCACCACAUACAAAUAAAGAUGUUGUGUCCGCUGAAAGCUAAAAAAAAAAAUAUUGAAAAAGUUUCUCUCUCUCUCUCUCUCUCUUUCUCUAAAAAAAUAAAAUAAAAUCUGCAAUUUGGUAUUUAAUUAACCCAGUCUUUUCUCAUCAUUCUAAAUUACUGAAUAUUAAUUUUCUGCAUUUGGUCUUUCCGCUGUUGGAAAACUGUCAGUUGACAUCUAUGGAGUUAUUUAAGGACGCACUGGAAGCCACUGUGCUCUAGAGGCGAACAUUUUUAUUGCACAGGGAUCUGAAAUCCAAACACUUCAAGAAGGGAAAAUAUUGCAUUAGCAAUAUAGGAGCAUUAUGAAUGAAACCGA